rnacentral:rRNA from 1 species
UCGAGAAUCUUCGGCAAUGGGCGCAAGCCUGACCGAGCGACGCCGCGUGUGGGAUGAAGGCCUUCGGGUUGUAAACCACUGUCAGUGCGGAGGAAAUGUAGUGGGGUUCUCCCCAUUAUUUGACCUAUGCGCAGAGGAAGGACGGGCUAAGUUCGUGCCAGCAGCCGCGGUAAGACGUACCGUCCAAACGUUAUUCGGAAUUACUGGGCUUAAAGGGUGCGUAGGCGGUCCGAUAAGUUGGGUGUGAAAGACCUCGGCUCAACCGAGGAAUGGCGCCCAAAACUGUCGAACUUGAGCAAGGCAGAGGUGAACGGAACUUAGGGUGGAGCGGUGAAAUGCGUUGAUAUCCUAAGGAACACCAGUAGCGAAAGCGGUUCACUGGGCCUUUUCUGACGCUGAUGCACGAAAGCCAGGGGAGCGAACG